AGAGUGGCGAACGGGUGAGUAACACGUAGGUGAUCUGGUCCCCGGGUGGGGUAUAGCCCAUGGAAACAUGGGGUAAUACCGCAAUGAGGUCCUGGAGCUGAGGCUUCUGGAUGAAAGGCGCAAUUGUGUUGCCUGGGGAUGAGCCUGCGGCUCAUUAGCUAGUUGGCGGGGUAAAGGCCCACCAAGGCGACGGAUGGGUAGCCGGGCCUGAGAGGGUGUACGGCCACACUGGGACUGAGACACGGCCCAGACUCCUACGGGAGGCAGCAGCUAAGAAUCUUCCGCAAUGGGGGAGGACCCUGACGGAGCGACGCCGCGUGGACGAAGAAAGGCCGCAAGGUUGUAAAGUCCUUUUGCAGACGAAGAAUAAGGCUCGGAGUGGAAAGCCGGGCUGAUGACGUUAGUCUGCGAAUAAGCCCCGGCCAAUUACGUGCCAGCAGCGGC
rnacentral:rRNA from 1 species